GGAGACGGAGCGGGAGCCAGAGACGGAGCAGAAGGAGCCGAGCAGGACGGAGGGGAUUCAGCAAAUCAAUUGAUCAGCAGCGGUGGAUCCGGGACACGUUUUAGGGCAACUUGUGAUUUCAGGAUGAUGCCUGCAAGUCAAGGUCAGGAGCUUGGCUGGAGGUUCCUCCUGUCACUGAAUCUCACUGUCAUCU